rnacentral:rRNA from 1 species
UACGAAGGGGGCUAGCGUUGCUCGGAAUCACUGGGCGUAAAGGGUGCGUAGGCGGGUCUUUAAGUCAGGGGUGAAAUCCUGGAGCUCAACUCCAGAACUGCCUUUGAUACUGAGGAUCUUGAGUUCGGGAGAGGUGAGUGGAAUUCCUAGUGUAGAGGUGAAAUUCGUAGAUAUUAGGAAGAACACCGAGUGGCGAAGGCGGCUCACUGGCCCGGUACUGACGCUGAGGCGCGAAAGCGUGGGGAGCAAACAGG